UGUAAAAUUUUGAAGGUCGAACAGACUAACUUUAAAGCUAUUGCACCCUAAGUAAAUUUUAAUCCAACAUCGAGGUCGCAAUCCUUUUAUCGAUUAGGACUCUAAAAAAAGAUUACGCUGUUAUCCCUAAGGUAAUUUAUUCUUUUAAUCAAAAUUAUUGGAUCAUCCAAACGCAUAUCAGUGAAAUGUAUAAAAGUAAAAGUUUAUUUAAUUUUACAAUCACCCCAACCAAAUAAAGUAAAUCAUUGCAUCUAAUAAACUCCAAAAUCAAGAAAUGACUUAAUUCAUAAAACUCUAUAGGGUCUUCUCGUCUUUCAACAAAAUUUAAGCUUUUUUACUUAAAAAUAAAAUUCUAUAAAAACAUUAGAGACAGUAGUUCCCUCAUCAAACCUUUCAUUCCAGUUUCUAAUUAAGAAACUAAUGAUUAUGCUACCUUAGCACAGUCAAAUUACUGCGGCCAUUCAAAUUUUCAUUGGAGGCCCGACCUUAAAUAAUAAUCAAAAGGGCA
rnacentral:rRNA from 1 species